rnacentral:rRNA from 1 species
UAAUACGUAGGGUGCGAGCGUUAAUCGGAAUUACUGGGCGUAAAGCGUGCGCAGGCGGUUAUGUAAGACAGAUGUGAAAUCCCCGGGCUCAACCUGGGAACUGCAUUUGUGACUGCAUGACUGGAGUGCGGCAGAGGGGGAUGGAAUUCCGCGUGUAGCAGUGAAAUGCGUAGAUAUGCGGAGGAACACCGAUGGCGAAGGCAAUCCCCUGGGCCUGCACUGACGCUCAUGCACGAAAGCGUGGGGAGCAAACAGGAUUAGAUACCCUGGUAGUCCACGCCCUAAACGAUGUCAACUGGUUGUUGGACGGCUUGCUGUUCAGUAACGAAGCUAACGCGUGGAGUUGACCGCCUGGGGAGUACGGCCGCAAGGUUG